AGCUUUGCGCAGUGGCAGUAUCAUAGCCAAUGAGGUUUAUCCGAGGUGCGAUUAUUGCUAAUUAAACACUUCAGGUUUCAAGUUUAUUUUAAGGCAUGUGCAUGCAUUUUAGCUUGUUUGUGUGUGUAUCAUCUGAUU